AGGGUUAUAUGAUCAAGUAA
rnacentral:rRNA from 1 species